AACCAUAGAAACCUGCGGAGUACCUGCGGAGGGAUCAUUACCGAGUUAUACAACUCCCAAACCCACUGUGAACCUUACCUCAGUUGCCUCGGCGGGAACGCCCCGGCCGCCUGCCCCCGCGCCGGCGCCGGACCCAGGCGCCCGCCGCAGGGACCCCAAACUCUCUUGCAUUACGCCCAGCGGGCGGAAUUUCUUCUCUGAGUUGCACAAGCAAAAACAAAUGAAUCAAAACUUUCAACA
rnacentral:misc_RNA from 1 species